rnacentral:misc_RNA from 1 species
GAUGAAGAACGUAGCGAAAUGCGAAAAGUAGUGUGAAUUGCAGAAUUCAGUGAAUCAUCGAAUCUUUGAACGCACAUUGCGCCCCUUGGUAUUCCGAGGGGCAUGCCUGUUCGAGCGUCAUUUUGACCACUCCCGCUUGCGGGGUCUUGGGCCUUCGCCUCUGGGCGGGCCUUAAAAUCAGUGGCGGUGCCGUCCGGCUCUAAGCGUAGUAAAUCUCCUCGCUAUAGGGUUCCGGAGGGAUGCUGGCCAACAACCCCCAACUUUUAAGGUUGACCUCGGAUCAGGUAGGGAUACCCGCUGAACUUAAGCAUAUCAAUAAGCGGAGGA